GUCUCUAUCAAAGUAGGCAUACAUGGAAUGGUAUACAUAUGACACAUUGUAUUCAACAUUAAUUUGCUCAUUAAUGGCAGCCUCACAGGCAUCGCUAUACUUUUGACGAGCAAGCGAGACUUGAGGGGCAGUGGGAAUAAGACUAAGCUCCUUCUUGACCUCUUCAAAGGGCUCAAAAACCACCCCCGUUAACGGCCGAGUGUUGGCGCCCUUUGAGGCCGAAACAACGACACCGCCAGCAUUUCUGGCCGGAGAAAGCCUGAGAAUUGAAGAGGAAGAGGAAGAAGAAGA
rnacentral:misc_RNA from 1 species